AGCAUAUUUUGUUCUUAUGUUACGGCCGUAAGUUAGGUAUUUUUGUACCAUAUGUUU
rnacentral:tRNA from 1 species